GCCGAAGUGGUGGAAUUGGUAGACACGCCAGUUUCAGGUACUGGUGAGCUUUACGCUUGCGGGGGUUCGAGUCCCCCCUUCGGCA
rnacentral:tRNA from 1 species